rnacentral:rRNA from 1 species
CAGUAGCCGCGGUAAUACAGAGGGUGCGAGCGUUAAUCGGAUUUACUGGGCGUAAAGCGUGCGUAGGCGGCUUCUUAAGUCGGAUGUGAAAUCCCUGAGCUUAACCUGGGAACUGCAUUUGAAACUGGCAGGCUAGAGUCUUGUAGAGGGGGGUAGAAUUCCAGGUGUAGCGGUGAAAUGCGUAGAGAUCUGGAGGAAUACCGGUGGCGAAGGCGGCCCCCUGGACAAAGACUGACGCUCAGGUGCGAAAGCGUGGGGAGCAAACAGGAUUAGAUACCCGCGUAGUCCCUGUCUCUUAUAC